AUGAAUCAUUUUCCUCUUUAUUUACAAAGAGCUAUCUUCCUUAGGUUUUCAAGAGGGUGUAUCUAUCUAGUAGCAUUUGUCUUUGUCCACCAGUUUCUCGCCCCCUUUUCAGUCAGUGUGAUUCAGCUGGAGCUUCCGUCCUCUUCUACAAAGCCUGCGCCUGUACCCUUGGUCUGCGUGGUAUUGAUUUUUCUUCCUCAUAAUGUAGUGCUUCAGUGUGAUCGGCAGAGGGCAGGAUUCUGCAGCAAGUUUGGAACUCCAAGCAUCUGAAAGAUAAUCUGCUGAUUGUGUAAAGGCGUCAGAUUAAAACAAGCUCGCAAAGGUUGUUACAUACAUGAAUGCUAACUGCAUUUUAAUUAUGGUGAUUUACACGAACCUGUUAUGAUCACAAUCUCAUAAAACAAACUCCAUUUUAAAAACUGGGUUUAACGACGUACCCAUUCCUUUACGAGAAUUUAAUUCUCUCUUUUCAACCCCCGAACUCAUAAAUAUGAUACUCUUUUAAGUAAGACAAACUCUACUCAAGCCAAUGGCCAAAAGAGCUGUGGCUCUUUCUGAAAACCCUGUUUUAUUGGUCUGUUCUACUGUGUAAUUGUUUAGUUUAAUUUGAUAAACAUGUCAGUUUUCCCAGGAUAAUUAGGUGGAUAAACAGAAUGUUCAAAAAGAAAUGGAGCCAAUUAGACUCUUUAUCAGAGACAUACACAAAAAAGGCUUUACAAAUGGACAGACUUUUCCUUAGAGAUUUGAUCCCAAAUUAGAGUUCCUGGAAUUUACAAGGGACAAAGAAGGCAGCUUUCCUAAAUAUAAUGAAGUCUCAGUUAUCUGAGAGGACAGCAGAGUAAAGAGACAAAUUCUCACGUGCUGCAGAAGUCACAGUCCGGUUGGAAAUGCAAAAGGGCAUGUCUUCAGUAAGAGCAUAGUUUUAUCCCCACCUAAUUACAACCACUUUUAAACAGGUUGGGCAACUGAAAGGUAGUGCUCUGUGGCUGUGUGUAGUUUUCUUGGAGUUAGCUCAAAGUAGACAGGUAUCCACAUUUACUUAUGCUGUAAAUAUGUCACCAUGCAUGUUGAGAAUACUCAGGUAUUGUACAGACUGAGCAUUCCACAAUAACAGUCCGUUAAUACGUUAAGUAUUCUGUUGUAGAACUUAAAAAUGUUUUGAGGAGUAAAUAACAUCAUAUCAUUUUAUUCUAUUUCUUAUUUUUGGUCUUUUGAAAAUAGACUCAUAUUUAGAGUGUCAUAUCUGACCUGGGCUUAUCUAUCCAGGUUUUAUCCCCUGUUUUUUGCUGCUUCUCAAGAAAGACUGUUUGGUUUUUAAUUACAUGAUGGUUCGUGUUGCUGUGAUUCAGGAUUGGCCAUCUUGGUACAGAAUCAAGGAACACGUUUGUUUCUACUUGAAAAUCUUUGUAAUAUAAUCCAAUGAAUAAAAUAUGUACUAAUAUUUUUUUCCA
rnacentral:lncRNA from 1 species